GUUUGUCAACAUGGGUCCAUGUUUGAGUGAGUAUCGGAGCUGGGGAACAGGCUGGAUCCGUGUCCCCGCGAAGCAACCUACACCCUUGAGUAAUGAAGGCCAUCUGCUUCCAAAGAGCUCUGUCAGCAAAACGGAGUCAGCCGAAAAGAUUUCAAUUAUCAAUAUACCAUUUAAUACAUCGCCCGCAGGCCAAACAGUCUGGCGUGCCGACAGCGCGAGAUGGAGGAUGUUAUUCCUCAGCUACAUGGGUGGAUUCUGCAACGCGGCAAAUCGGGGUUCAGAGCUGUCUCACAUCUAUCACGCAUUGGAUAAAUGAUCAUGUCUGAGGAGAAGCAAACAACUCUGCGCCUUAGCAGACCGUUUUGGACUUCACUGCUGAAAGAAGCUGCCGUUGGUAAUGCAUUCUACUUCUGUUCGUUGGCAUUGAAGGAGGAUCUACAACAUUCCCUACUGUGUACAUCAUCACUGACUCGUGGGAGUGUGAAUGAGACUAUUCAAACUCUUGUCUUUUCACUCAUCAUUUUGCUGUUGUUUAUGAGCUCUGUGGUCCAUUCGUGAUUGUUCUCAUCAAAGAUGAGAUGUUUGAUUACGUGGAAAUACCUCAAAAGAAAAGAAGUCACAAAACCACCUGGGACCUUACAGCCGGAGCAAUACCCUGGUG